rnacentral:rRNA from 1 species
UUUAUUGGAGAGUUUGAUCCUGGCUCAGGACGAACGCUGGCGGCGUGCCUAAUACAUGCAAGUCGAGCGGAUCUGAGGGAGCUUGCUCCCAAAGAUUAGCGGCGGACGGGUGA